GUCGAACGAUGAUGGAGAGCUUGCUCUUCGGAUUAGUGGCGAACGGGUGAGUAACACGUGAGCAAUCUGCCCUUGACUCUGGGAUAAGCGUUGGAAACGACGUCUAAUACCGGAUACGACCUUGGAAGGCAUCUUCCUUGGUGGAAAGAAUUUUGGUCAGGGAUGAGCUCGCGGCCUAUCAGCUAGUUGGUGAGGUAAUGGCUCACCAAGGCGACGACGGGUAGCCGGCCUGAGAGGGUGACCGGCCACACUGGGACUGAGACACGGCCCAGACUCCUACGGGAGGCAGCAGUGGGGAAUAUUGCACAAUGGGCGAAAGCCUGAUGCAGCAACGCCGCGUGAGGGACGACGGCCUUCGGGUUGUAAACCUCUUUUAGUAGGGAAGAAGCGAAAGUGACGGUACCUGCAGAAAAAGCACCGGCUAACUACGUGCCAGCAGCCGCGGUAAUACGUAGGGUGCAAGCGUUGUCCGGAAUUAUUGGGCGUAAAGAGCUCGUAGGCGGUUUGUCGCGUCUGCUGUGAAAACCCGAGGCUCAACCUCGGGCCUGCAGUGGGUACGGGCAGACUAGAGUGCGGUAGGGGAGAUUGGAAUUCCUGGUGUAGCGGUGGAAUGCGCAGAUAUCAGGAGGAACACCAAUGGCGAAGGCAGAUCUCUGGGCCGUAACUGACGCUGAGGAGCGAAAGCAUGGGGAGCGAACAGGAUUAGAUACCCUGGUAGUCCAUGCCGUAAACGUUGGGAACUAGAUGUGGGGACCAUUCCACGGUCUCCGUGUCGCAGCUAACG
rnacentral:rRNA from 1 species